AUUGAACGCUGGCGGCGUGCUUAACACAUGCAAGUCGAUCGGUAACAGGUGUAGCAAUACAUGCUGACGAGAGGCGGACGGGUGAGUAAUGCUUGGGAAUCUGCCUAUUAGUGGGGGACAACCCGGGGAAACUCGGGCUAAUACCGCAUACGCUCUACGGAGGAAAGCCGGGGACCGUAAGGCCUGGCGCUAAUAGAUGAGCCCAAGUCGGAUUAGCUAGUUGGUAGGGUAACGGCCAUCAAGGCGACAAUCCGUAGCUGGUCUGAGAGGACGACCAGCCACACCGGAACUGAGACACGGUCCGGACUCCUACGGGAGGCAGCAGUGGGGAAUAUUGGACAAUGGGGGCAACCCUGAUCCAGCGACGCCGCGUGGGUGAAGAAGGCCUGCGGGUUGUAAAGCCCUUUCGGUGGGGAAGAAAAGUCUCGACCUAAUACGUCGGGACCUUGACGUAACCACUAAAGAAGCACCGGCUAACUCUGUGCCAGCAGCCGCCGUAA
rnacentral:rRNA from 1 species